rnacentral:rRNA from 1 species
AUGGACGGAUCUGGGCAGAGCCCCCAGCCGCUCGAUGCUGCCCCAGGUCGAAGCCUCGCCACGACCAGUCCUCCAGCGCUUCGGGUGAGGCCCAUGCCGCUGUCGCCGUCAAGCCAUCCCACCGCCGUGCCGCACCACCACACGAAGGCGUCGGCCAGUGCCAAGCCCCACCAUGCGGGGGAGAGAGAGGCCCCGCCGCUGCCAACACCAAUCGGGCUUUACCCAACGGCGCGGUCCGGCGGUGGCGAGGGGAGGAGAAUGAAAGGCGAUGUCAAUGCACAACUUCCCAAGAAAACAGAGCAGGUUCUUUUCUGUAGUUUAACUCAAGAGCAACAUGCUACUUAUCGUGCAUUUCUUGCUAGUUCAGAGGUGGAACAAAUAUUUGAUGGUAACAGAAACUCCCUUUAUGGGAUAGAUGUCCUGAGGAAGAUAUGUAAUCAUCCUGAUCUUCUUGAGAGAGAACAAGCUGCUCAGAAUCCUGAUUAUGGAAAUAUUGAAAGAAGUGGAAAGAUGAAAGUGGUUGAGCAAGUACUUAAAGUCUGGAAAGAUCAAGGUCAUCGCGUUCUUCUUUUUGCUCAGACCCAACAGUUGCUUGACAUUUUGGAGAACUUCUUGACUGCGCGCGACUACCAAUAUCGAAGAAUGGAUGGACUUCCAAAGUUUGAUGAGUUUAAUAAUACAGAUGAGAUUUUUAUUUUCAUUCUGACAACAAAAGUUGGUGGAUUGGGUACGAAUUUGACUGGGGCAAACAGGGUUAUAAUAUUUGAUCCUGACUGGAACCCUUCGACAGACAUGCAGGCCAGGGUACGAGCGUGGCGAAUUGGGCAAAAAAGAGAUGUGACAGUUUACAGGUUGAUCACACGUGGGACGAUAGAGGAGAAAGUCUACCAUCGACAGAUAUACAAGCAUUUUCUCACAAACAAAGUACUGAAAAACCCUCAGCAAAGGAGGUUCUUUAAAGCCAGAGACAUGAAAGAUUUAUUCACAUUACAAGAUGAUGACAAGAAUGGUUCAACUGAAACAUCAAACAUUUUUGGCCAAUUGUCUGAAGAUGUGAACAUCGGUGCUCCAGAUGGUGAGGAGCGAGGCGAGGGAUCUUCAGCUUUACCGACCAGCGCAGAGGCUGAACCAUCUGUUGAUGGAAAUGGGAAAUCAGACCUUAGAUCUGACCAAGCGGAUGAAGAAUCCAACAUUUUGAAGAGUCUUUUUGAUGGCCAGGGCGUUCAUAGUGCUAUAAAUCAUGAUGCCAUAAUGAGUGCUAACGACGAUCAGAAGCUGCGCCUAGAAGCAGAAGCUUCACAGGUGGCACACAGGGCAGCUGAGGCUUUACGCCAAUCACGGAUGCUCAGAAGCCGUGACGACUUUGCUGUCCCCACAUGGACAGGAAGAGCUGGUGCUGCCGGGGCGCCGUCUUCUGUCCGCAGGAAAUUUGGGUCAACACUCAACACCCAGCUGGUUAGUUCUUCGCAGCCAUCAGAAGGUUCAAACGGCAGCAGGGUUCAAAGUCUUCAGGUGGGCGCUCUACAUGGCAAAGCACUGUCCUCCGCCGAGCUUUUGGCUAAGAUGCGUGGAACGCGAGAGGGGGCAGCUUCAGACGCACUGGAACAUCAGCUCAGCCUGGGCUCUGCUUCCAACCAGAGACCAGGCUCGACAGAGAACGGACGCACAUCUAACUCUUCUUCUAGUAGGAACAUUAUCGUGCAACCUGAAGUCCUGAUCCGCCAGCUGUGCACCUUCAUACAACAAAACGGUGGCUCCGCCAGCUCGACGAGCUUGACGGAACAUUUCAAGAACCGCAUACAACCAAAGGAUAUGCUGGUGUUCAAGAACCUUCUGAAGGAGAUAGCAAUGUUGCAAAGGGGCGCAGGCGGCUCAACGUGGGUGCUGAAACCCGAGUAUGGGUAA